GGUGAGUCGAUCUAGUGGCGCAGGGGGGCGCUGUUGCCUCUUCUAAAAUCAUUGCGCUCCGCAGUAUCGCUGCAUCAAACGCUGUCAACAUGGCGUCGGCCCUCGGUCGCCUGGCCCGGCUGUCGCUCCUCACAAACGCACGCUCCUCACCGCUGAGCCCGUCCUGUGGUCCAGGGAGGAUCGUGACACUGUGCCGGACAGCUGUGUGCAGCUCAUCCGGUGCCAUCCUGCCCCAGCCUAAGAAGACCCCCUUCGGCCUUGUCCGGAUCGCCGUGGUAGUGGUGCCCUUCUUGUACUUGGGGACUCAGAUCAGCAAGAACUUCGCGGCGCUGCUGGAGGAGCACGACAUCUUCGUCCCCGAGGACGACGACGACGAUGACUGAGAGGUCUGUUGGAUUCCUGGGUGUCAGGUAUCACCGGCUUCCGUUGGGGGCUUCACUUCCACCUUGUUCUGUCAGGACCCCUGGGAAGAGCCUGUCAGCAGAUAACAGCCUUCCUGGAGACCCCCCUGCUGUGUUAAGUCGCCUGUGUGUGCACUGGAUUCAGGGUUUUUGCUGUAUGUCAACACUGAGAUGGGGCUGCCCCAAGCUGCUUGUAUUGUACUGUAUUUGCAUGCAGUCUUAAUAAACGGAAUAACACUUGUAAAAUC